ensembl:lncRNA
GUACAGUAUCUAUUUAAGUGUUAAGAGUGCAGAGUAACUGUGUGAUUUUUUUUUGUGUGUGUGUGUGUGAGAGAGAGAGAGAGAGAGAGAGAGAGAGAGAGAGAGAGAGAGAGAGAGAGAGAGAGAGAGAGAGAGAGAGAGAGAGAGAGAUGAGAUUUUGUACAGAAGCAGAGAUCUGUCUUACGGAACAGACAACUGGAUAGUCAAUGUGACUCUCCUAUCCAUCCUCACAAGUCUUGGAAUUAGUGGCACAGCAUGGUUUGUAUCUUACCUGGAGGGACAGUCUUAUCAAGUGACAUGGCGGGGAUCUGUUCCAUGCAGAAACUCCACUAGUGCCCCACAUGGUUCAGUGAUUAGUCCUCUUCUGUUCUUCUCCUAUACUAGGUGAGGUAAUAUGUUCACAUGUUUUUUCAUACCACUGCUAUGCUAAUGACACCCAACUCAUCCUUUCCUUUCCUCCCUCAGACACUUAUGUUUCUGCAGUGCUCUUAGCAUGUCAGGCAUAUCUCUCAUCCUGGAUGGCAGCUUACCAACUGAAACUAAGUCACAGCAAGACUCAGCUACUGUAAAUCCAUGGAGAUGCAUCCCCAUAUCAAGAUGUUGGGAUCUCCCUGGAGAACUCUUGGAUCACACCAUCUAGCAAUGGACGCAACAGCGAGGCGGUUCUGUACAACCAAUUAUACUUUUCAACUCACAUUGCUAACCUGACUUAGUUAUGCAGGGUUAUCCUUCAGGUGAUUGUUAUUUGUCAUCUUGAGAUUGUACUACUGCAACUCACCCCGACAUGUCAUCUGACCCUUGCAUCUUACCAAGAAUGCAGCUGCAUGACCUGUCUCCAGCCCAAGUUCUUCCCAUCACCCAAAUUCUGCAUUCGCCCUACUGGUUUAGAGCUUGCAUCAAAUGCAAAACACUGAUGCUUGCAUAAAAAGCCAAACAUGACCACCACCCACCUACCUAAAGACACUUAUCACCUUGUUCCCUUCGAGCCUCUACCAUGGCUUGACUUGGCCCAACAUUCCUCAAGAUACAAGGAAGACAUGCAUCCAUCGAGACUCUUCUCUGCACUGGCAUCCAGGUAAUGGAAUUCUCUUCUCCCGGCUGUCUGAUCAGCUGAGUAAAUCUGUUUUGCUGUACCAACUUCUCUAACAGGGUUCAAUUUGAUGGAAUUUGUAGACCUAAUGAACUAGCACAAGGUCAUGUUUCUGAUGGAGACUACAAAGCAUUUUUGUAAGUCUCACUGGAUUAGUGUGUUUGCUAAAUGCUGUAAAUGUAAAUGUAACUUUAGCCUUUCAUAAAAUUCACCUUUUAAAUGUUUCUGGUUCAAAAACAAAAGCUGUUCACUCAUUGCUAUUAUGUGGCAGUUCCUCAGCGAAGUAUCAUUAACUGUAGGAGUCCACAUCAUCUUCCCUAUCUUUACAUCUUUCCCUCACCACCCUGAGGUAUGGAAGGUCACUCUUUAGCAGCCCUGUGCUUGAUGACACCUGCAAGACUGUACAUGGAAAAGCACUUCAUGUUUGCCUGUGUUUAACCUGUGGUCUGCAAGGUUCCAAUAGAUAAAAGACAGCUCCAUUAAUAAUUCUGUCAGCAAACCUCCUUCUGUGUUAAUCGGGCUGGUAUAAAUGAAGUAUGAAUUCUGACAAGCUUAAAAAAAAAUUAAAUAUUAUUUCUACAACUGGCAUCCCUCAUAUUAGCAGUCCUUAAGUGAACCAUAGUUAAGUGAUUAUGAAACUUUUCACCAUCAUGCAAUUUUUCUCUAUCAGAUCAAAUGCAGGAUAACAGAACAGCAUUCGCCAGCCCCUUGGAAACAUUAGAUAAUGUGAAUUGAAUGAGAGUGUAUCUCAAGUAGCAUUACAGCUAUUAUUUCUGUAUGUUUCCAAGUGAAAGUGAAUCAAUACCUAGUAUCCUAGUUUUACCCCAACUGCCCAAGCUGAGAAGUUGCUGACCACCAGCACUAGCAGGCUGCUUGUAUCUUAAGCAAUCUGGGCAUUGCUCUCUGUAUUGGUUAGACCUAUUGUGUCAAGAACCAUCCACUCUAAAAUAUAUGGCGUAAAUAAGUUGUUUUUGUAUCAACCCUUGCUCACAGGUCCCUGUAGUAUCAGCAAUUGGAACAGAUGCAAUCCAAUUGAGUGAUUGAUUACAUUUUCUUAUUUAUUAUAUGUCUAGGCAAAAGAAAAUACUGAAACUCUAAUGAGGGCCGAUGCAUGACAGACAUUUGCUGCCUGUAGAUCAAUAAGAUCAUUAUGGGGUCUUGAUUAAUCUUGUUUGACUGAGCAAGGUUAGCUCUUUCUAAAACAUUGUAUUCACGUGAGAAAAAAGAAAAACCAUGAUGGGUUGUCUAUAACUAGCUUUGAGAUGCCAGUGUUCUAGAAAGUUCCACAAAUUGUUUAAGACCCUACAUUAGUCAGUACCUAGGAUUCUGUUUUUCAACAAAUGAAUACAGUGUGUACAGAGAGUAAACUGCAGCAUCAUUUCUCAUGGGGUAAAUAUAUAAUAAGCACAUACUAUAGUCCAUAUAAUAGGCCAUAUAAUGGGAACACUGUACAAUAUCGUUCAACAACACAUAGGUAACUAUGCAGUAACUAAGCUGGAACGGAUGAGUAGCUAUUUGUUAACACCUAUCUUAUUCCUGUAAAUUCUAAAAACAACUAGUUAAUUACUUAGUCACAAGAUUCUCCUGUCCAUUUUAUAAUAACUUCUUUUUUUUUUAAUAAUAACUGCUGAUUCAUUACGAAUCACACCAACAUUACUUAACAUUAGCAAAGCCUUAUCGUCCUCAUGGAGAUCUACUACCCAAUGUUGUUUUUAUUCAGCCAGUCAAGGUCUAAAGAGAGUAAUAGACAACAAUACCCUACAAAAGUAUAAGGCUGAAAUGUAGCAAUCAGUAACAAAUUCACAUUAAAAUUUGUUUGUAAUACACAGAAACACUUCAGUCAUUAAUAAUGAGUUUCCAUGUGUUUUACUUUACAGUACAGUUCCACGUCUUCAUUAAUUACUGAAGAACUUCAGAGUAACACUUCAGUCAUUACUAAUGAGUUUCAGUUUAUUGUUUAAACUUAUAUCCAUAUAUUUAAAAUACAUGCAAACAACAUUCAUAUGUGAGCCAUACAUCCUGGAGCUGUUAUGGUACAAAACAGGGGUAGCAAAUAAAUGUAAAAGUUACAAUCAAAUUCCUUAAAACAAUUAAAUAAAUAAAAAAUUAUAAUACAUUGAACAAACAUUAACAUAAGCAUGCCGUUUGCUCAUAUUACAUAUCACAUGGAAGGUGAAAAAACGUUACUUUUUAAAACAAAGAAUAUAAUAAGAAUGCAGUGUCAGAAUUUUAUAAUUUACUUUCAUGUUUAUAUUCAUUUUCUUUUAUGUAUGAAUAUAAACACUUAGCAUAGUUACCAUAUCUUAGCCUAAUCAAAUCUGUGUAAAGCCCUGCUAGCUCCAACGUGUUUUAUGUGGAAUCUCAGAUAACUUCCUCUUAAAUAGCAACUCUCACAUAGUGUACAAAAGUUGGGACUCUGUGUAAAAUGUUAAUAAAAACAGAAUGCAAUGAUUUGCAAAUCUUAUAAACCCAUGAGAAACUGACCACAGAACAGUUUUCCAUUUUGCUUCAGUCCAUUUUAAAUUAGCUUUGGUCCAGAGAAGACGGCAGCGUUUCAGGAUCAUGUUCACAUGUGGCUUCUUCACAUUCCAGCAUUUGUGGAUGGAAUGGCGAACUGUGUUCACAGAGAAUGAGUUCUGGAGGUGUUUCUGAGCCCAUGCGGUGAUUUCCAUUACAGAAUCAUGCCUGUUUUUAAUGCAGUGCUG